CCUGGUUGAUUCUGCCAGUAGUCAUAUGCUUGUCUCAAAGAUUAAGCCAUGCAUGUCUAAGUAUAAGCAAUUAUACAGCGAAACUGCGAAUGGCUCAUUAUAUAAGUUAUCGUUUAUUUGAUAGCACCUUACUACUUGGAUAACCGUGGUAAUUCUAGAGCUAAUACAUGCUAAAAAUCCCGACUUCGGAAGGGAUGUAUUUAUUAGAUUAAAAACCAAUGCCCCCUGGGCUCUCUGGUGAUUCAUGAUAACUUCGCGGAUCGCACGGCCUUGCGCCGGCGAUGGCUCAUUCAAAUUUCUUCCCUAUCAACUUUCGAUGUUUGGGUAGUGGCCAAACAUGGUUGCAACGGGUAACGGAGGGUUAGGGCUCGACCCCGGAGAAGGAGCCUGAGAAACGGCUACUACAUCCAAGGAAGGCAGCAGGCGCGCAAAUUACCCAAUCCCGACACGGGGAGGUAGUGACAAUAAAUACUGAUACAGGGCUCUUUUGGGUCUUGUAAUUGGAAUGAGUACAAUUUAAAUCCCUUAACGAGGAACAAUUGGAGGGCAAGUCUGGUGCCAGCAGCCGCGGUAAUUCCAGCUCCAAUAGCGUAUAUUAAAGUUGUUGUGGUUAAAAAGCUCGUAGUUGAACCUUGGGCCUGGCUGGCCGGUCCGCCUCACCGCGUGUACUGGUCCGGCCGGGCCUUUCCCUCUGUGGAACCCCAUGCCCUUCACUGGGUGUGGCGGGGAAACAGGACUUUUACUUUGAAAAAAUUAGAGUGCUCCAGGCAGGCCUAUGCUCGAAUACAUUAGCAUGGAAUAAUGAAAUAGGACGUGCGGUUCUAUUUUGUUGGUUUCUAGGACCGCCGUAAUGAUUAAUAGGGACAGUCGGGGGCAUCAGUAUUCAAUUGUCAGAGGUGAAAUUCUUGGAUUUAUUGAAGACUAACUACUGCGAAAGCAUUUGCCAAGGAUGUUUUCAUUAAUCAGGAACGAAAGUUAGGGGAUCGAAGACGAUCAGAUACCGUCGUAGUCUUAACCAUAAACUAUGCCGACUAGGGAUCGGACGAUGUUAUAUUUUGACUCGUUCGGCACCUUACGAGAAAUCAAAGUGCUUGGGCUCCAGGGGGAGUAUGGUCGCAAGGCUGAAACUUAAAGAAAUUGACGGAAGGGCACCACCAGGGGUAAACCGCAGUUGCUCUGCCCCUAAAAGCAGCCGGGAAACCGGUCCCGUGGGUCCUUGGCCAGGCGGCCGAAGAAU
rnacentral:rRNA from 1 species